UACGGAGGGGGCUAGCGUUGUUCGGAAUUACUGGGCGUAAAGCGCACGUAGGCGGCUUUGCAAGUCAGAGGUGAAAGCCCGGGGCUCAACCCCGGAAUUGCCUUUGAGACUGCAUCGCUAGAAUUGUGGAGAGGUAAGUGGAAUUCCGAGUGUAGAGGUGAAAUUCGUAGAUAUUCGGAAGAACACCAGUGGCGAAGGCGACUUACUGGACACAUAUUGACGCUGAGAUGCGAAAGCGUGGGGAGCAAACAGG
rnacentral:rRNA from 1 species